AUGAACGCUAGCUACAGGCUUAACACAUGCAAGUCGAGGGGCAUCAGGGUGUAGCAAUACACCGCUGGCGACCGGCGCACGGGUGAGUAACACGUAUCCAACCUGCCCUUUACUCGGGGAUAGCCUUUCGAAAGAAAGAUUAAUACCCGAUGGCAUAACAUGACCUCCUGGUUUUGUUAUUAAAGAAUUUCGGUAGAGGAUGGGGAUGCGUUCCAUUAGGCAGUUGGCGGGGUAACGGCCCACCAAACCUUCGAUGGAUAGGGGUUCUGAGAGGAAGGUCCCCCACAUUGGAACUGAGACACGGUCCAAACUCCUACGGGAGGCAGCAGUGAGGAAUAUUGGUCAAUGGGCGAGAGCCUGAACCAGCCAAGUAGCGUGAAGGAUGACCGCCCUAUGGGUUGUAAACUUCUUUUAUAUGGGAAUAAAGGGUGCCACGUGUGGCAUUUUGUAUGUACCAUAUGAAUAAGGAUCGGCUAACUCCGUGCCAGCAGCCGCGGUAAUACGGAGGAUCCGAGCGUUAUCCGGAUUUAUUGGGUUUAAAGGGAGCGUAGGUGGACAUGUAAGUCAGUUGUGAAAGUUUGCGGCUCAACCGUAAAAUUGCAGUUGAUACUGCGUGUCUUGAGUACAGUAGAGGUGGGCGGAAUUCGUGGUGUAGCGGUGAAAUGCUUAGAUAUCACGAAGAACUCCGAUUGCGAAGGCAGCUCACUGGACUGCAACUGACACUGAUGCUCGAAAGUGUGGGUAUCAAACAGGAUUAGAUACCCUGGUAGUCCACACAGUAAACGAUGAAUACUCGCUGUUUGCGAUAUACAGUAAGCGGCCAAGCGAAAGCAUUAAGUAUUCCACCUGGGGAGUACGCCGGCAACGGUGAAACUCAAAGGAAUUGACGGGGGCCCGCACAAGCGGAGGAACAUGUGGUUUAAUUCGAUGAUACGCGAGGAACCUUACCCGGGCUUAAAUUGCUAAUGAAUCUGCCGGCAACGGCUUCGCCCCCAGGCAUUUGUGAUGGUGCUGCAUGGUUGUCGUCAGCUCGUGCCGUGAGGUGUCGGCUUAAGUGCCAUAACGAGCGCAACCCUUAUCUUCAGUUACUAACAGGUCAUGCUGAGGACUCUGGAGAGACUGCCGUCGUAAGAUGUGAGGAAGGUGGGGAUGACGUCAAAUCAGCACGGCCCUUACGUCCGGGGCUACACACGUGUUACAAUGGGGGGUACAGAAGGCCGCUACACAGCGAUGUGAUGCCAAUCCCUAAAGCCCCUCUCAGUUCGGAUCGAAGUCUGCAACCCGACUUCGUGAAGCUGGAUUCGCUAGUAAUCGCGCAUCAGCCACGGCGCGGUGAAUACGUUCCCGGGCCUUGUACACACCGCCCGUCAAGCCAUGGGAGCCGGGGGUACCUGAAGUACGUAACCGCAAGGAGCGUCCUAGGGUAAAACUGGUGACUGGGGCU
rnacentral:rRNA from 1 species